rnacentral:lncRNA from 1 species
CAACAAUUAUUGAGAAUAUAUAGAAGUAUAAAAUUAAAUUUGGUAGGAUUCUGAGGUGUCAUUUAUGAAUGUUUCCUUUAUACUCCUAGGUGGCCUCAUUUCUCUCUUCCUAGAAUCCUAGGAGGUUUUUGUGGCCUUCCUAAUUUUGUCGGAUGCCUCCUCUAUGCUUAUCAGGGAAGGAGAGGGGAGGGGCGAAAUUGUUGGCUUUUGUUCUUCUAUUUCGUAGGUUAUCUAGGUACAUUACUUGAAUAAAUCUACAUAUGGGGCACAUGCAGAUCAGUUACUCCUUUGGCCGUUUACCUUUUGGAACCUUAUGGCCACACGUCUGGCUAGCAAUGACUACCGCGGAUUGAGAAAAUAAGGAAGGGCAUGUACCUAUCGUAGUCAUAGUUAAGUGGAAUUGUAGUAUUAUUAUAGGUGUUAAAUUUAUGUGCAUAUUAUAUCUGCUAUCGGCUUUAAGUUUAUGAUUAUAUAAUUCUUUGAUAUUUAGUUGUUGAAUCCUAUAUGAAUCCUCAAGCAAAUAUAUUCUAGUUUAGGCCAAAUAAUAAUGUAGGAUCUAAUACCGUCCAUUUGUGAUAGUCAACAUGUCUAGCUAAUUUUAUUUUGCUAAAAUAGAUAUUUUUUCAUUCGUUUGUUUUGUUUUUUUGUUUUUGUCUUUUAUUAGUUUUUCUCUUAAAUCCACCAAGACAAAAAAUCUUGGACAAUCUUGAAAUAUUAUCUAAUUUUCACUUACAACCACCCAAACAAAACAUUGUGCUGGAUAAAACUCAUGAUUAUGAUUAGAUAAAGUAAUACAUGUUUAAAUAUUUUUGUACAUUUGCAUUCUAACUUUUUAGUGAAGAAAAAAUGUGAAUCAUUCUUGCUUUAUUUUUGCUAUAAUUUAUCUGUAGUUUUAUUUUUUUUUCCUUUGACUUAUUAUCUUUCAUUUGUAUAUGUCUAUAUGGUUCAUCUCAAACAUCUUAAAUGUUGGUACCUACAUCAUCACCCAUUUUGAUGUUCAAAUGUUACUCCUUUUCACUGGAUGGUCAAGAAUAAAAUUUAUCUUGCCUCCAUACAAGUAAGGUGAUGUACCUAAAAUAUCUACCUUUUUUAACACAGUAUAAUUGAAGUCACUCACAUACAUGAGCAUACAAUUGCCCUUAUGAAAGUACACACGUACACCCUACCCUUAUGAGCACCUUCGAGAUAGUAAGGUGACAUACCAUCUUGAGACCGAUGAAGUCGUCACCGAUGCCUUUGUAGUCGAAGGAAACGUCUCCUCCUAGUGAACGCAAAUCGUCGGAAGGCUUGAAAUGAAUUCAAAAAAUGUGGGCAUCAAUGUCAUGUCGAAAACUUGAACUCUAGUGGGCUUGGGAUACCACUAUCCUCCUAACUAUCCAACCACAUGCUGGUGCGCUAAAAAGAUCUAUCUAUACUUGUACAAUGUCAUUAUAUUUUUGCCACAUGGAAAACCAUAUAUCUCUUCAUCUUAAUU